UAUCAGUACGACAAAUUCAAAACUCUGGUAUGACAGUUAUUUUUCAUAAAAAUGGCAAAACAUCCAUUGAAAGAGGUGACAAAAUCAUCGCAAAUGGUCAACAACUAGCGGAUGUAUUUACGAAACCACUACCAGCAGUGCAGUUCAUGAAAAUCCGUAAACAAAUAGGCCUGGAAGAAAUCUAAUCUUAGCAUACAUGUUAUACAAUAAUGUUAAUCAUUACUGGUCUGAUUGGGUUUUUAUUUAUUACCACUGGAAAAAUAUUCUACGAACCGUGCGCGCGAUUUUAAAGGGCUGAAAAAAGGUUGAUAAACGGCCAACUUCAAAAAUAUGUACCGGAUUGAAAAAAAAUUGAAAAAGGUUUUAUUAAAGCGCAAAUUAAAGCGACAUAUUUCCCCUUUAAAAUGUCGUGCGCAAAAAUUCGAUAUCUCGUUUUUUGAUAAAACAAUUCAACUUUUGGUGCAUCAAGAAAUUUCAACGAGCGCCCCCAAACUUUUGGCCGGUAGUGUAUAAUCUACAAUUGCAUACUCGAAUAUUUAAACAUUACCACGCUCCUUUCAAUACACAGCCUCUCAAGUGUACUUGAUUUAUGAAAAAUCGCUGUUUUGAAACAGCUGGGAAUUUUUUUUUCCUACGAAUAAAAUGGCUUGAAAUUUUCAGGCAAUGUACCUCAUUCUAAACCCAAACAAGACUGAAAAUUUUUAGAAUGGGUUUUAGCUGGUUUGGUUUAUGGCUUAGUUUUGGCUUGGUUUAUGGCCUUAUCAAUGACUUUUUUAAUUUCACAUAAUGAAUUUACUUUAAUUUUGUAUCAAGUUGUAACGAGAACGAUAUACGCAUAGAGAGAGAAAGAAAGAGAUGAGUAGAGAGAGAUAGAGGUGCGCAAGGAGGGGAGCCGAAAUCUGACGAAGUACCCAGCGUUUCAAAUUUGAGGAGAAACAUGCGAUCUUGGAAUCUGGUAUUUAGUAGUCGAUUGGCCAUCUACGAGAGCGCACGAAAAUUACAAGGGCGCUCGUGCAAGCAAAAUUUCAAAUUGAAACAAAACAAAGGAACAAUUUGUCCAUCCUUCUCUCAAUUCAUCGGGACCCGUCUUAGAUCAAGCUGACAUCAACGAUCUGUCAAAGGAUUUGGAGUCCAUGGGAGGACAUUUUGUUCGUCUUUCAAAGAAUUGAAAUCCUCAUCGAUAUACCAUCGUCCUGCAUAUAUUCAAGAGGGCAAUUUACCGUCGACAUCGAACGCAAAACGCAGGUUGUUACAUCCAUCCAUCUCUCUCUCUCUCUCGAUAGAUCAUUAAUUUAUGAAAAAAUAAGAAUUAGCCAAUGUAACUGGAAAUAAGCGAUUAUCGUACAGAAAAGCAAAGGUGUUAAUAGUACCAGAUCGAAUGAAAAAUGUUAGUUAAUAAAUAAUGAAUCUGUUUAUCAUUA